GAAACUCCCACACAUUUGGUCACAGUAGUAUUCUCGGUGGAAAGAGGAAAAAUUGUUUUAAUCUACACAAAUGCCCACUUCAAAUUUUUGCUUAUAUUAUAUCUACUAACAUCUUACCUCCCAAAGAAAGUCACGUGGUCAAAUCCAAAAUCAAGCGAUGAAAUAGUAUUCUGUGCUUAUCGUGAAGACAUGACAAGGGAUGGAUGCAUAAUACUACUACCGGGGGGUGAGGAAUUGUGACCAGUAAUUCAUUCUGCUAAACCUUCGAAUUACCUAGAAGACCCUGAAUGAGCUGACCCUUGGAAGCCUUGCUGUUGUAAACCCACAGAAGAAAGCUAAAAAAUUAUGCCGAAUUAUGGAUUGCUCUUUCUACAUUUGGAAGAAAAAGAAAGUUUUUCUCAGAAAGUCUUCUCUAUAGUACCACAAAGAUGCAAGGUAAG
rnacentral:lncRNA from 10 species